UUAUCCGCCCGACCCCGGUUCCGUCUCGCCCGACCCUAUCUGUCUCGCCGACCCUUAUCCGCCUCGCCCGAGAGCUCGGCUGUGAUCUUUUCCUUCAAAUCGAGGGUGUAUGUGUAAAACUUAGGAACCAUUCAGCGCUUGCGUCUGAGGAUCCCUAGUAUGCCACAUCGUCUAGUUCAAGGAACAGAUCAUAAGUUCCUUUCCGACCCUUGCCUUUCGAUCUUCACCAGCUCUCUUGAACCUCCCC
rnacentral:lncRNA from 1 species